rnacentral:rRNA from 1 species
AUUGAACGCUGGCGGCAGGCCUAACACAUGCAAGUCGAACGCGUGGCGGACGGGUGAGUAAUGUCUGGGCAACUGCCUGAUGGAGGGGGAUAACUACUGGAAACGGUCGCUACUUCCUCAUACCAUCAGCUGUGCCCAGAUGGGAUUAGCUAGUUGGUGGGGUAACGGCUCACCAAGGCGACGAUCCCUAGCUGGUCUGAGAGGAUGCCCACCCACACGGGAACUGAGACACGGUCCAGACUCCUACGGGAGGCAGCAGUGGGGAAUAUUGCACAAUGGGCGCAAGCCUGAUGCAGCCAUGCCGCGUGUAUGAAGAAGGCCUUCGGGUUGUAAAGUACUUUCAGCGGGGAGGCGUUACCCGCAGAAGAAGCACCGGCUAACUCCGUGCCAGCAGCCGCGGUAAUUC